AAUGAACGCUGGCGGCGCGCCUAAUACAUGCAAGUCGAGCGAGAAGACGUAGCAAUACGUUUGUAAAGCGGCGAACGGGUGAGGAAUACAUGGGUAACCUACCCUCGAGUGGGGAAUAACUAGCCGAAAGGUUAGCUAAUACCGCGUACGCUUCUUGGACUUCGGUUCAGGGAGGAAAGCGAUGCCGAGGGUAUCGCGCUCUUGGAUGGGCUCAUGUCCUAUCAGCUUGUUGGUGAGGUAACGGCUCACCAAGGCUUCGACGGGUAGCUGGUCUGAGAGGACGAUCAGCCACACUGGCACUGCGACACGGGCCAGACUCCUACGGGAGGCAGCAGUAAGGAAUAUUGCGCAAUGGGCGAAAGCCUGACGCAGCGACGCCGCGUGGGGGA
rnacentral:rRNA from 1 species